GGAGCGGUGUCCGAGCGGUUGAAGGAGGCGGUCUUGAAAACCGUUGUGCCCUAAGGCACCGGGGGUUCGAAUCCCCCCUGCUCCG
rnacentral:tRNA from 1 species